AGGAAAAAGAAACCCACGCUUUCUCCUAAAGCCGAGAACUUCCCAGUCUGUGGCCGAAUCCUGUGAUCAUCCUCUGCCUUGAAAUCCCGAGGAUCUUGGACUUUUCUUACCCACGAGGUCGAGCCCCGUCGUCCCGGGAGAUGGUCUGCGAGAAGGUUCCUGGGCCCGAGCAGGAAUGGAGCUCGACUUGGAAGCCACGCGUGGGAGCAGUGACUUUGAUGUCCCCGGGGCUGCUGUAAACUCGUGCGUAUGGACUGAUGUGUGUGGGAUGCAGAUGCAGCCAGUUUAUCACGCAGGAAGAGUUCGGGCAGCUUCAAUGUUCCCGUAGCCCCCUGUAUCGAAUGUCCUUCCUUCUCUCCCCUGCCCCCUUCCCCAACCUCUCUUCCCUUCACCUCCCCGAGUCAGAGCGUUUUCCGUGACAAAGUUGACGGAUGGAUGCGGGGCAGCUGUGUGCCCUGAUGUCCACGAUCCCGAUCGCCCCAGAGAUUUCCUUCAUCCUUCCAGAAAGGACUUCCUCCCCCCGCCCUUUUCCUCUCCUCCUUUCGGCUUCCCUUUAUUUCCCGGACCCUGACUCACCCGCAGAAUCUCAGCCUGUUAGAUCGAGUUUUAGGGUGAGGGACCUGAGGUUCAGUGGGAGGAGGUAACGAGGUCACACAGCAGUGACCUAAGGUCUCCUGCUCGCAGGUGCGCUGUGCUUUCUUCUAACUCGCUUCACCAGUUUGCUGCCUUCUCCAGUUAGAGGAGGGAGGCUUUCCAGUUAGGUGAAGGAGGGUGAGAGGUGGGGAGAAGGAACUGAAUGCCUUGCAACUUUCCCGAACCUCCCCUCCCGAGAGGAAGCCAAGGGUGGAAUUCUUCACUCUUCUUGUGGCAUUCCAGGGGACGAGGAGGGCUCGCGUGAUCAGUCCAGCUCGCGCCCCGCCGCGCCUCGCCGGGAUCUUGUCAGGUUUAAGGCUAUUUCAGCCGAGUAUUGUUUGAAUUUGGCGCCCUCUGCUGGCCAAAGGCAAUCUUCUGUUUCUCGUCUUCCGUCGGUCAAAGCCUAACCCUAACCCUAAAUUCGCUCUGGACGGGGAUCUUUGGAACUCUGCCUCGCAGGCAGAGGGGAAAGUACCUGGAGUGGGACCCCACGAUGCUUCCCCCCUUAUCCUUUCUGCAUACAUUAUGCUUCUACAGAAACUUUUCAAUUUCAUGCAAUCGAAGUGAUCGAUUUUAUUUUGUUGCCUUGUUUGGUUAAGAAUUCUUCCCUUAUUGGAGGCUUUAAAAUGACUGCGAUCUCUCUUCCUAUUAAAAAGAUAGUAUGAUCUUUA